UGAUGCGAUCAUACCAGCACUAAAGUACCGGAUCCCAUUAGAACUCCGAAGUUAAGCGUGCUUGGCGAGAGUAGUACUAGGAUGGGUGACCUCUUGGGAAGUCCUCGUGUUGCAUUCC
rnacentral:rRNA from 2 species